rnacentral:rRNA from 1 species
CUCCUGGAAACGGGUGGUAAUGCCGGAUGCUCCAGUUGACCGCAUGGUCCUCUGGGAAAGCUUUUGCGGUAUGGGAUGGGGUCGCGUCCUAUCAGCUUGAUGGCGGGGUAACGGCCCACCAUGGCUUCGACGGGUAGCCGGCCUGAGAGGGCGACCGGCCACAUUGGGACUGAGAUACGGCCCAGACUCCUACGGGAGGCAGCAGUGGGGAAUAUUGCACAAUGGGCGCAAGCCUGAUGCAGCGACGCCGCGUGCGGGAUGACGGCCUUCGGGUUGUAAACCGCUUUUGACUGGGAGCAAGCCCUUCGGGGUGAGUGUACCUUUCGAAUAAGCACCGGCUAACUACGUGCCAGCAGCCGCGGUAAUACGUAGGGUGCAAGCGUUAUCCGGAAUUAUUGGGCGUAAAGGGCUCGUAGGCGGUUCGUCGCGUCCGGUGUGAAAGUCCAUCGCUUAACGGUGGAUCCGCGCCGGGUACGGGCGGGCUUGAGUGCGGUAGGGGAGACUGGAAUUCCCGGUGUAACGGUGGAAUGUGUAGAUAUCGG